CUUUGUUUACUUGCUGCACGUUGUGAGAAUAGUUUGUCCUUUUCUACUAUCACUUGAGCCAUUAAUGCUGUGCGUCCUUGCGGAAAAGUCAACGCUGAAGCGUCAGUGGUGUUGAACACCCUAUUAAGUACCUGAGCCACAAACUGCUGGAUCAGGAAACCAAAAUGAAGGAUUGAUGGCUCUCCACCUCACUUCCAGAGUCUACCCAGCUUGACCCACCUCAAGAACACCUCUUAACUAGAAGAAUCACCAUCUUGUGCUUAGCACACAUUUUUUUGUUCUUUUGCUUUUUCCAGUUUUACAACGCUUGCUGCAGGGUGCCCUAACAAACUGACAUUGUCUUGUCUUGUCUUGUGUUACCAUGUAGAUUCAAGGUUAAUACUAAAUGUGCCAGAGAACUGGCUGAAUCGUGGCUAUCAAAAGAAAAAGCCAUCAACAGACACUUAAACAUGAAUCUAGCAUAUGCAGGCUUAAAAAGAAAAACAUCUGCAUAUUAAAUAAGACUAUAUGACCAACACCUUCUGAACCCCACCUUCUUAUUCCAAAUCCCCUUACACCCAUCUCAGCCCCUUCCUCUUUUGCUAUAUAUUGCCUUUGAUUCCUGUAAGUCUAAUCAUUUUCUUCUGAUGAUGACUCCUGGUAGGAGUUAAAAGCUUAGUAGUAAAAA